AACGAACGCUGGCGGCAUGCCUAACACAUGCAAGUCGAACGAGACCUUCGGGUCUAGUGGCGCACGGGUGCGUAACGCGUGGGAACCUGCCCUUAGGUUCGGAAUAACUCCCCGAAAGGGGUGCUAAUACCGGAUAAUGUCUUCGGACCAAAGAUUUAUCGCCUUUGGAUGGGCCCGCGUUGGAUUAGCUAGUUGGUAGGGUAAAAGCCUACCAAGGCGACGAUCCAUAGCUGGUCUGAGAGGAUGAUCAGCCACACUGGGACUGAGACACGGCCCAGACUCCUACGGGAGGCAGCAGUGGGGAAUAUUGGACAAUGGGCGAAAGCCUGAUCCAGCAAUGCCGCGUGAGUGAUGAAGGCCUUAGGGUUGUAAAGCUCUUUUACCCGGGAUGAUAAUGACAGUACCGGGAAAAUAAGCUCCGGCUAACUCCGUG
rnacentral:rRNA from 1 species